rnacentral:rRNA from 1 species
AUGGUACCAGAAACAGAGUAUCAGUUCUUUUCCAAAUGGUCAGCCGCAAAGAAGCGGCUGUUUUAUGAGUCUACAUUGUAUGGACUGCCAGAACCGAAUCGAAUUUUCAAUUAUGAUGUUGGAGAAAUAAAGCCCCUUACAUCUUUGCAGAGCAGUGUCAUUUUUGACAUCACAAGUCCUAGUCCCACCAAGGCUGGAAAGAACGAUUGGAUAUUUCAGUACACCAUGAAGUCCCUGGAGAGGAAGCAGGUGGAUGCACCUAUUUCAAUACCCUCUUGUUUGGAUGGAACGGUGACAAACCACAGACAAGUUUCUCAUAGUGCUCUCAAUGCCCUCGACACAAUAACUGAGAAAAGAUCUAUAGGAACUGCUGCUGCUUGUAAUGCUGAUGUGCCUAUUCCAGCACCUUGUUUGGAUGGCAGUGUCACAAAUCAGAGACAGGUAUCUCAUAUUGCUCUGGAUGCCCUUGAUAAAGUAAUUGAAAAAACAGCAAUGGAUACUUUUGCUGCCUCUAAUGUUGCUGCUGCUGCUGCUGCCGAUGAUGAUGAUAAUUAUGAGGAGGAGGAGAAGGGGCAGGAGGAUAAAGAAGGUGGAAUCAGUUCAUAUAAUGGCGAUGUUUUUACUGCUGCUGCUGCUGAUACAUGUGUCAAUGAUGAUGCUACUGCAUAUGAUGAUGAGAAGGGGCAGGAGGAGGAGAAGGAGAAGGGGCUGGAGGAGGAAGAGGAUGGAACAAAUUCAUGCAACAUUGGUCUUGCUGAUGUUGAGGAGGAGGAUGAGGAGGAGGAGAAGGGGCUGGAGCAGGAAGAGGGUAAAAUCAAUUCAUGCAACACAGUGACGGGUCCUGCUAAUGAUGACAUUGAGGAGGAUGACAAGGUUAAGAUUCGGGAAGAGGAGAAGAGACGGGAGGAGGAGGAGAAGGCAUACGAGCUUGUGACUGGUGUGCCUUUCCGAAGAUUAUCCCAGUGCCUUGAUGCCUAUGUUAUACUGCGAAGAAGAAAAGUUAUCAAAACCAGGUUCUUUCUCCCGAACAAGAAAUCUGAGUUCUUGGAGCAAGAAACUGCUGCAAUAAUGAAGCAUAGUGAUGAAAAUGAUGAGCACUUUAAAGAAAGAUUACUCGAAGCAAAUCUCAGAAGAGGAACGCUUUUCACUGUAGAAGAGCAUGGAGGCAUCGGGAAGUACAGAGGCAGAGUGUGGCCCAUGCCACCAAGGCCAUACUCCAAAAAGAAGGGCACGAAACUUCGGUGGUAUUAUUUAGAGCCUGAGUAG